rnacentral:tRNA from 1 species
GAAGGUAUAGCUCAGUGGUAGAGCACGUGCUUUGCAUGCAGCAAGGUCCUGCGUUCAAUCCCUAGUACCUCCA